rnacentral:rRNA from 1 species
UAAUAAAUUAUUUAUUAUUAUUUUUUAUUGUAUGUAUUUGAUUGAAAGAUCUUAUUGUUAUUGUAUUGAUUAUUGAUUUAAUUAUUUAAUGAUAGUUUAGUGGUACUGUGAGGGUUUAUUAUUUAAUUUAUAUAAAGUAAAUUUUGUUUAUUGUACCUUGUGUAUCAGGGUUUAUUUAAAUUAUUUAUAUAUGUUAUUUUUCUCGAUUUUAGAAGAGUUAAUAAUUUAUUUUGGUUACUGUUGAAUAAGUAUCAAUAAUAUUUAUUGGUGGUGAUAUGUUAUGUCGAUUUUAAGUGUAUCUGGUUUCUUGAGAAAUAAAUUUAAUUUAUGUAUUUUUAUUAACUUUUAUUAUUUUAUAAUUUUUGUUUAAAUUUAUGCUAAUAUCUUGAGGGAUUAUCUUUAUGAUAUAGUUUUAUAAUUUAUUUUAUUUUGUUGAUUGUGUUGGAUUUAGGAAUAGUUAUUUUUUUAAGUAUGUUAAAAUUUGAUUUUUUAGUUAAUUAAAUUUGUUUGUAUUAUUUAAAUUAUUUAUUGGGAUAAUAUUUUUAAUUAAAUUUUAUUUUUAUUUAUGAUGGAAUUAGUAUAUUUUGUUUUAGAUUAUUUUAUUUAUGAUUGAUAAGUUGUGAUUAGGAAUUCAGCAAAAUUAGUUUAUUCGUUUGUUUAACAAAAACAUUUCUUCUUGAUUUUAAUGUGAAGUAUAACCUGCCCACUGAUAUUGUUGAAGGGCCGCGGUAUUUUGACCGUGCAAAGGUAGCAUAAUCAUUAGUUUUUUAAUUGGAGGCUGGAAUGAAUGGUUGGACGAGAUAAAAACUGUCUUGUUAUUAAUGAUUUUGAAUUUAACGUUCAAAUUAAAAGGUUUGAAUGGUGUUAUGGGACGAGAAGACCCUAUAGAGUUUGAUAAUGUAAAUAUUGUAUUGCAAGUUAGUUAUUGUUUUAAUUAUUUAUAUUAUUUUGUUGGGGCGAUGGUGAGGAUAGAAGUAACUCUCAUUAUGUUAUUUAUAUUGAUGUAUAUUAUUUUGAUCCAUUAUUUGAUGAUUAUAAGAUUAAAUUACCUUAGGGAUAACAGCGUAAUUUUUUUGGAGAGUUCUAAUCGAUAAAAGAGAUUGCGACCUCGAUGUUGGAUUGAAGAUAAUUAUUGGUGAAGGGGCUAGUAUAAUUAGGUCUGUUCGACCUUUAAAAUCUUACAUGAUCUGAGUUCAAACCGGUGUGAGCCAGGUUGGUUUCUAUCUAUAAUAUAUUAAAUAUUUUAGUACGAAAGGACCAAAUGUUUGGAAUAAUUUUUUUUUGUUGAUUGAUUAUUAAUA